GGCUUGCUGGUCUAGGGGUAUUUUUCUCGCUCUGGGUGCGAGAGGUCCUGGCUUCAAAUCCCUGACUCGCAG